AUACAGAGGGUGCGAGCGUUAAUCGGAAUUACUGGGCGUAAAGCGCGCGUAGGCGGCUGAUUAAGUCAGAUGUGAAAUCCCAGGGCUCAACCUUGGAACUGCAUCUGAUACUGGUCAGCUAGAGGUUAUGAGAGGGAAGUAGGAUUUCAGGUGUAGCGGUGAAAUGCAUAGAUAUCUGAAGGAAUACCAGUGGCGAAGGCGGCUUCCUGGCCUAAAACUGACGCUGAGGUGCGAAAGCGUGGGUAGCAAACGGAAUUAGAAACCCCGGUAGUCC
rnacentral:rRNA from 1 species